rnacentral:rRNA from 1 species
CACGAACCGUACGAACGUUAUUCGGAAUUACUGGGCUUAAAGGGUUUGUAGGCGGCCAUGUAAGUCAGGUGUGAAAUCCCUCGGCUCAACCGAGGAACGGCGCUUGAUACUGCAUGGCUUGAGGGAGACAGGGGUAAGCGGAACUGAUGGUGGAGCGGUGAAGUGCGUUGAUAUCAUCAGGAACACCGGUGGCGAAAGCGGCUUACUGGGUCUCUUCUGACGCUGAGGCACGAAAGCUAGGGUAGCGAACGGG